GACGAACGCUGGCGGCGUGCUAAACACAUGCAAGUAGAACGGAAAGGCCCUGCUUUUGGGGGGGGCUCGAGUGGCGAACGGGUGAGUAACACGUGAGUAACCUGCCCUAGACUUCGGGAUAACGUCAGGAAACUGGGGCUAAUACCUGAUAGGAGCUCCUGCUGCAUGGUGGGGGUUGGAAAGUUUCGGCGGUUGUGGAUGCACUCGCGGCUUAUCAGCUUGUGGGUGGGGUAGUGGCUUACCAAGGCUUUGACGGGUAGCCGGCCUGAGAGGGUUACCGGCCUAAUGGGACCUGAUAUGCGGCCCGGUCUCCUGUGGGAGUCAGCAGUGGGGCAUAUUUCACGAUGGGCCGAAGCAUGAUGCAGCAACGCAGCGUCCGGGCUGACGGCCUUCGGGUUGUAGACCGCUUUCGACUGUGACGAUGAGUGCGUGUCGUUAAUGAGUAGACACGCACCGGCUCACUACGUG
rnacentral:rRNA from 1 species